rnacentral:rRNA from 1 species
AUUGAACGCUGGCGGCAGGCCUAACACAUGCAAGUCGAGCGGAUGAAGGGAGCUUGCCCCUGGAUUCAGCGGCGGACGGGUGUGUAAUGCCUAUGAAUCUGCCUCGUAGUGGGGGAUAACGUCCGGAAACGGGCGCUACUACCGCAUACGUCCUGAGGGAGAAAGCGUGGGACCUUCGGACCUCACGCUAUCAGAUGAGCCAGGGUCGGAUUAGCUAGUUGGUGGGGUAUGGGCCUACCAAGGCGCCGAUCCGCAACUGGUCUGAGGGGUUGAUCAGUCACACUGGAACUGAGACACAGUCCAGACUCCUACGGGAGGCAGCAGUGGGGAAUAUUGGACGAUGGGCGAAAGCCUGAUCCAGCCAUGCCGCGUGUGUGAAGAAGGUCUUCGGAUUGUAAAGCGCUUUAAGUUGGGGGGAAGGGCAGUAAGUUAAUACCUUGCUGUUUUGACGUUACCAACAGAAUAAGCACCGGCUAACUUCGUG